AUGGAGCUUAUUGUGAACCUGUUUUUGAUAAUAAUGUCUCUGCAUGGCGUUCUGUGCCAAACCUUUAUCCAGUCUGAAGCUGUGGUUAAAAGACCUGGAGAUGCUCAUAAACUGAUCUGUACAGCAUCUGGAUUAACAUUCAGUGGCUACUGGAUGGCUGUGGUCAGACAGGCUCCUGGAAAAGGCAUGGAAUGGGUUGCUACCAUUGGAUAUGGUACUCAGAUGUACUAUUCCCAGUCAGUCCAGGGAAGAUUCAUAAUCUCCAGAUCUGACUCCAGCGGUCAGCUGCACUUAGAGAUGUACAGCCUGAAGAGUGAAGACACUGCUGUGUAUUACUGUGCAAGAGAGUCACAGUGA